GGGUAACGGGGAAUUAGGGUUCGAUUCCGGAGAGGGAGCCUGAGAAACGGCUACCACAUCUAAGGAAGGCAGCAGGCGCGCAAAUUACCCAAUCCUAAUACAGGGAGGUAGUGACAAGAAAUAACAAUACAGGACCUUACGGUUUUGUAAUUGGAAUGAGUUAAGUAUAAACCCCUUAACAAGUAUCAAUUGGAGGGCAAGUCUGGUGCCAGCAGCCGCGGUAAUUCCAGCUCCAAUAGCGUAUAUUAAAGUUGUUGCAGUUAAAAAGCUCGUAGUUAAUUUUCUGUUAAUUUUUAUAUACAAUACUACGGUAUUUAUAUAAUAUUAACAUAAUUCAUAUUACUUUUUAGUAUAUGAAACUUUACUUUGAGAAAAUUAGAGUGCUUAAAGCAGGCUAUUGCCUUGAAUACUCCAGCAUGGAAUAAUAUUAAGGAUUUUUAUUCUUCUUAUUGGUUCUAGAAUAAAAAUAAUGAUUAAUAGGGACAGUUGGGGGCAUU
rnacentral:rRNA from 1 species